rnacentral:rRNA from 1 species
GACGAACGCUGGCGGCGUGCUUAACACAUGCAAGUCGAACGGAAAGGCCCUGCUUUUGUGGGGUGCUCGAGUGGCGAACGGGUGAGUAACACGUGAGUAACCUGCCCUUGACUUUGGGAUAACUUCAGGAAACUGAGGCUAAUACCGGAUAGGAGCUCCUGCUGCAUGGUGGGGGUUGGAAGGUUUCGGCGGUUGGGGAUGGACUCGCGGCUUAUCAGCUUGUUGGUGGGGUAGUGGCUUACCAAGGCUUUGACGGGUAGCCGGCCUGAGAGGGUGACCGGCCACAUUGGGACUGAGAUACGGCCCAGACUCCUACGGGAGGCAGCAGUGGGGAAUAUUGCACAAUGGGCGGAAGCCUGAUGCAGCAACGCCGCGUGCGGGAUGACGGCCUUCGGGUUGUAAACCGCUUUCGCCUGUGACGAAGCGUGAGUGACGGUAAUGGGUAAAGAAGCACCGGCUAACUACGUG